CUGCUACUCCCACCGUCCAAAAAUACUUGUCAUCAAAAUGGACAAAAAAGGAUGCAUCUAGAACUAAAAUACGGCUAGAUACAUCUCCUUUUAUUCAUUUUGAUGACAAGUAUUUCCGGACGGAGGGAGUAUUAU
rfam:Triticum aestivum genome assembly, contig: Triticum_aestivum_CS42_TGACv1_scaffold_513970_6BS